rnacentral:rRNA from 1 species
AUUGAACGCUGGCGGCAGGCCUAACACAUGCAAGUCGAGCGGGAACUUCGGUUCUAGCGGCGGACGGGUGAGUAAUGCGUAGGAAGCUACCCGACAGAGGGGGAUACCAGUUGGAAACGACUGUUAAUACCGCAUAAUGUCUACGGACCAAAGUGUGGGACCUUCGGGCCGCAUGCUGUCGGAUGCCGCUACGUGGGAUUAGCUAGUUGGUGAGGUAAUGGCUAACCAAGGCGACGAUCCCUAGCUGGGUUGAGAGGAUGAUCAGCCACACUGGAACUGAGACACGGUCCAGACUCCUACGGGAGGCAGCAGUGGGGAAUAUUGGACAAUGGGCGAAAGCCUGAUCCAGCCAUGCCGCGUGUGUGAAGAAGGCCUUCGGGUUGUAAAGCACUUUCAGUAGGGAGGAAGAGUUGAGUGUUAAUAGUACUCAGCUUUGACGUUACCUACAGAAGAAGCACCGGCUAACUCUGUGCCAGCAGCCGCGGUAAAAC